rnacentral:rRNA from 1 species
AGAGUUUGAUCAUGGCUCAGAUUGUACGCUGGCGGCAGGCUUAACACAUGCAAGUCGAACGGUAACAGGAGAAAGCUUGCUUUCUUGCUGACGAGUGGCGGACGGGUGAGUAAUGCUUGGGAAUCUGGCUUAUGGAGGGGGAUAACUACGGGAAACUGUAGCUAAUACCGCGUAAUAUCUUCGGAUUAAAGGGUGGGACUUUCGGGCCACCUGCCAUAAGAUGAGCCCAAGUGGGAUUAGGUAGUUGGUGGGGUAAGGGCCUACCAAGCCGACGAUCUCUAGCUGGUCUGAGAGGAUGACCAGCCACACUGGAACUGAGACACGGUCCAGACUCCUACGGGAGGCAGCAGUGGGGAAUAUUGCACAAUGGGGGGAACCCUGAUGCAGCCAUGCCGCGUGAAUGAAGAAGGCCUUCGGGUUGUAAAGUUCUUUCGGUGAUGAGGAAGGCGGUUGUUUUAAUAGAACAAUCGAUUGACGUUAGUCACAGAAGAAGCACCGGCUAACUCCGUGCCAGCAGCCGCGGUAAUACGGAGGGUGCGAGCGUUAAUCGGAAUGACUGGGCGUAAAGGGCACGCAGGCGGUGACUUAAGUGAGAUGUGAAAGCCCCGGGCUUAGCCUGGGAAUUGCAUUUCAUACUGGGUCGCUAGAGUAUUUUAGGGAGGGGUAGAAUUCCACGUGUAGCGGUGAAAUGCGUAGAGAUGUGGAGGAAUACCGAAGGCGAAGGCAGCCCCUUGGGAAUAUACUGACGCUCAUGUGCGAAAGCGUGGGGAGCAAACAGGAUUAGAUACCCUGGUAGUCCACGCUGUAAACGCUGUCGAUUUGGGGAUUGGGCUUUAAGCUUGGUGCCCGUAGCU